GAGUGGUCUUGACUCUGACCCCAGGUCCUCCUGAAUCCUCCCUAGGAGUGAGUCUGAACCUUAUUCCAGGUGCAGUGGUUAGCUCACUCCCACUUAGUCUCUAGCCCCCUAUAAAAACAGAGGAACUUCCUCUCUUCAGUUCUCUUGCCUUGCUUCAUUGCCUGCCAGCACCAUCCUUUUGUUCCUGCUGCUCUUUGUUUUACCACGUGGCCAUCCUCCCACAAGGGGAAAAACAUCUGCCAAAAAAGAGGAUGCUUUCAGUUGGUUUGUGCUUGAUCAAGAAGAGGAAAGGGUGGUCAGCCUUAAACUCUUCAGAGACACUUGCAUCAUCUGUUCUAGCUCUUGUUGAGCCUGCCACUUCACUGCCUUCUCCAUAGAUUUCCACAAAUGCCUCAUGGACAGCUUCAGAUAUCUUCAGGCUCUCUGCUGAAGAUAUGCCAGAGAGAUCUGAUGAUGAACUGAACAGAACUGGUCCACUCCAUGAGUUUUUUGGAGGUGAUUGCAUCCUCAAGCUACAAGGAGACAAAGAGACAAGCAAAUAAGAUCUCAGACAAUUUGAUUUCUGAAAGUAUGAAGGAAACAUGUUGAGCACUGCCAAACCAAAUAAUAAUGACAGCAAUGUUGACCUGAACAUCUUCAGUGUGCAGCAAUGGAGAUAUAAAACAUUUGGAGUUCAAGCUGCUGCAGUAACAUCUGCUUAGCUGACAAGAAUCUGUUCUGUGGAGAACUAAAGCACUUUCUUAAGCAAUCCAUGCUCAACACAAAGUACUGCAGGACCACUGAUAUAGCUGCAUGUUUCUGUACAGCAAUCUUGUGUUGCCAGUAUUCAGAUCUGUGCUGGUGAAGUGUUUCAGGGUAAGUUUAUUGUGAAGCGUUUUACAGCACCUAACUUCCACUGUAUUUAUGAUUUUCUAAAACUCAGCAGCCAGGACCAUACCUGCUCCAGGCCAGAGGCAUCAUCAGGCAAAAAGACUAAAAAGCUCAGCUGCCCACUGGCAUAUGGAAGCUCCAGGAUCUUCAAUUUCUCUGCAGCCACCUCUGCCACUUUAAAGGAACCAGUCCGAUACAUCAUCUGCACAGGUUUACUUUCUUGCUGCACAAUCAAACAAGAUAAAACAGUUUUCACAAAGUUCAUUCAUAGAGUGCAGAAAUGUCUACUUAUGACUAGGACUACUGAUUGCUCUUAUUCAGGGAGGCUGUCUAACAACUUAGCUAUUCUUCAUAACUUGUAGAAGAUGACACCUUUAAAGUGAUGCAUGUUUGUGUACCUCAGUCAUUCUGAAAGGCACAGUCUGGAUGUCUUCAUCUUUAAAUGCUUUCUCCCACAGUCCUUUGAAGUAAAUGGCAUUGACAAGGACAGUCUCAGUCUCAUGAUCCACGGAGUCAGGUUGAAGGAUAUUUUUUAUCACUCCUUUAAGAAUGAAAAGAGAUUGCAGCUUUAGAUGAAGGAUACAGAAUGUAGGGGGAGGAGGGCAUAAGACAGGGACAUUGGUUCAGUUUUGUAGCUGUAAUCUUGUACCUCUGAAGUUGAAUUCCCUUACUACUGUUUGUAAUAGCUGCCAUUUCCCUCUCUCUUAAGGAUCAUGAUAAAUACAAGACCCAGAUAUUUGCUUGUAAACCUAUUUAUUUUGUGAGAGUGAGAAGAACCAUUAGAACCUUUUAAUCCUAGGUGAUCUCCAAUCCAAGCAGUGAACAUAAAUAAUUCUUGCUUCAGACUAGAGCUAAAAAGAAAUGUUUAUAUACAGAAGGUAGCAGAAAAGGAAA